UAGAGGUGACUCUAUUUUAAAGGC
rnacentral:siRNA from 1 species